AUUGAACGCUGGCGGCAGGCCUAACACAUGCAAGUCGAACGAGUGGCGGACGGGUGAGUAAUGUCUGGGAAACUGCCCGAUGGAGGGGGAUAACUACUGGAAACGGUAGCUAAUACCGCAUACCAUCGGAUGUGCCCAUAUGGGAUUAGCUUGUAGGUGAGGUAACGGCUCACCUAGGCGACGAUCCCUAGCUGGUCUGAGAGGAUGACCAGCCACAGUGGAACGGAGGAACGGUCGAGACUCCGACGGGACGCAGAAGUGGGGAAUAUUGCACAAGGGGCGCAAGCCUUAUGCAGCCAGGCCGCGUGUAUGAAGAAGGCCUUCGGGUUGUAAAGUACUUUCAGCGGGGCGGCGUUACCCGCAGAAGAAGCACCGGCUAACUCCGUGCCAGCAGCCGCGGUAAUAC
rnacentral:rRNA from 1 species